ACGCCGAGUUAGACACCCGGCUCCCCGGCCGCGCGCCCCACCCGCAGUUCCCCCACGAACGGUCCUCCCUCCCCCGCUGGCUCGGAAUUCCCCGGAAGUAUCGGCGGACCCCCGGGGCGGGGUGCGGGGGGGGGGGGGGGGCUCGCGCCACCCGGCCGAGCUACCCUUCCUUGCCGCCUCCUCGCCCCUGCUUUCCUGAUACUACUUCCUACCCCUCUUCUUCAUCUGCUUUGGGAGAGGGAGAGAGAGAGUGGAGGAGGCUGAGGGAGUGGAACAUCCGAGGGUCACCACAAGUCACCCUCUUUUACUCUGACCUGUGGGCCCCCCCCUUACCAGUUCCUGGCUGUUCCAUUACACUCAUUCCCCCGCCAUCAUUCCUGGCCACACAUCGGCCCCCUUGGCUGUCCAGUGCUCACCACCUGUUCCUGGGAGUCACCUCAGCAAAAGCUGGACUCGCACUCACCUCUCAGGGAGACUUCCCCAAUCAAAGCCGCUGUACUCUGACCUUUCCUUCCCCCAUCGGCCUUUCUUUGCGGGUC